CGAAGAUACCAAUUCACGACUCGUGCUAAGUAGUAACACGAUGUAUAGAGUCUGACACAUGCUCGAUGCUGGAAAAUCGAAAGGAGAAGUGUUAUAAGCUUUGAAUGGAAGCCCCGAUACACAGCGGCAAUAACUCUAACUGUCCUAAGGGAGCGAAAUUCCUUGUCGCAGAAGUAGUGACCUGUACAAAUGGUGUAACGA
rnacentral:ncRNA from 1 species